rnacentral:tRNA from 1 species
ACUAGGAUGGCCGAGUGGUUAAGGCGUUAACUUAAGAUCCAAUGGACAUAUGUCCGCGUGGGUUCGAACCCCACUUCUGGUA